rnacentral:misc_RNA from 1 species
AAGCGUUGUUCCUGGGGGCGAUCUCGCCAAGGUGCAGCGGGCUGUCUGUAUGAUAAGCAACAGCACAGCCGUGGCCGAAGUCUUUUCAAGAAUUGACCACAAAUUCGAUCUUAUGUAUGCUAAGCGCGCAUUUGUCCAUUGGUACGUGGGGGAGGGCAUGGAGGAAGGCGAAUUCUCUGAAGCCCGUGAGGAUCUUGCUGCUCUAGAGAAGGACUACGAGGAAGUCGGGGCCGAAGAUGUUGAUGAAGAGGAGGAAGGGGAAGAUUAUUGAUCCCGUGAAUAAUCGCGUAUCUUUUUUCAUCGUUUUCAUGUUUGUUUCUUAUUAAGUCAAGUUGUGCAAUGUUUCAUACAUGGUAAUCUUGAAGGUGUGGUUUCUGUUUUUGUAUGAUUCUGGGUCUGCCAUUCUAUUGAUUUCAAAAUUUACGGUGUUCAGAACUACUUGCAAAUUUUAUCAUAAGGAGCUGAGGUUUCUGUAAAGAUGUUUCCAAGGAGGAGUCCCCUUUGAACCGUUGAUGUUGGAAGGAAUUGUAGCUCUUUCUCGGAUUUUCACCAAUUGAUGAUAUUCACAAUCAUAUUCCAAGGCCAAAUGUUUCUGGCGUAGCUUCUAAGUAAUUUUAGAUAACUAUAUGUACGUCUGAUUUAAUUAUUU